ACCUGGUUGAUCCUGCCCGUAGUCAUAUGCUUGUUUCAAGGACUAAGCCAUGCAUGCCUAAGAAUAACUGCACUCAGGAGUCUGCGCAUGGCUCAUUACAUCAGACGCAAUCUGCCGCAAAAACUUUGCGGUCUCCGCAACAAUGGAUAACUUGGCGAAACGCCAAGGUAAUACAUGAAUCUCUCGGGCGUCCUCCACUCACGCGGCUUCGGUUGCGAGGCACCCUGCGAAUGAAUGAAAUUAGGACCAAUGCCCUUCACGGGGCAGCAACACCCAGCAGUGUUGAAGCAAUUCAUUCCGUGCGAAAGCCGAUUUAUCGGCGUAUUUUGAUGAACAACUGCCCUAUCAGCCAAUGAUGGCCGUGUAGUGGACUGCCAUGGCGUUGACGGGAGCGGGGGAUUAGGGUUCGAUUCCGGAGAGGGAGCCUGAGAAACGGCUACCACUUCUACGGAGGGCAGCAGGCGCGCAAAUUGCCCAAUGCCAAGAAAUGAUGAGGCAGCGAAAAGAAAUAGGUCUUCUAAGCGUCCUUUGGGCGAUUGGAAGUUGCAAUGGGGGAUAUUUAAAGCCAUCCAAAAUCGAGUAACAAUUGGAGGACAAGUCUGGUGCCAGCACCCGCGGUAAUUCCAGCUCCAAGAGCGUAUAUUAACGCUGUUGCUGUUAAAGGGUUGUAGUUGAACUGAGGGCUGCCAAGGAGACAGUACCGUCCCAUCCACCGGAUCGGCGACGCCUGCUCUUGCUGCCCGUGAACGGCAGAAACUAAGAUCACGGAAGUGUUUCCCGCCACCUUCGCGAGCAAUGCACGCAGGCGGGCGUCCGUGUUUUUUACUGUGACUAAAGAAGCGCGACCAAAGCAGUCGUUCGACAUGAAUUUGAAAGCAUGGGAUAACGAAGCCUACCUACGGGUUACCGUUUCGGCUUUUGUUGGUUUUAAAGAUCUGUGGGAGAUUAUGGCUUCUGCAUUGACAAGCGGUUCGGGGUCUCGUCCCCACGCCUCUGCCUUCGGGCAGCUUGCAGGGUUCUGAAUGAAGGAGGGUUGUUCGGGGGAGAACGUACUUGAGCGUGAGAGGUGAAAUUCUUAGACCGCUCAAAGACGAACUACAGCGAAGGCAUUCUCCAAGGAUACCUUCCUCAAUCAAGAACCAAAGUGUGGAGAUCGAAGAUGAUUAGAGACCAUUGUAGUCCACACCACAAACGGUGACCCCCACGAAUUGGGGAUUAUUUGGUUCGUGCAUAUUCCGUAUCGGGAAUAUCCUCAGCACGUCCUUUUUUUCCACGCGAAAGCUCGAGGUUACAGUCUCAGGGGGGAGUACGUUCGCAAGAGUGAAACUUAA
rnacentral:rRNA from 1 species